UUUCACUACUAGCUGUAUCCCACAAGCUUUACAUUGAACACGUGGGUAUCAUGGUCGGGUUACACACGUUAGUUUUUAGAUCUAUCUCAACCAUUAUCAUAAUAUUACAUAUUGGUGCUGAUUUCAGUAAUUAAUUUUGUUUAAGAUUUGCAGCCCGUAGUGCCGUUUUGUAGUGACCAGUCAGUUGCCGGAAGGGAUGUUUAUUUAUCUGGAAUAGAUAAUGGCACAAAUGGUAUCAGAUGUAAUUGUUCCAUUAGUUUAUCUUCAUCUACUCGGGAUCCUGUCAAACUUGAUAUAAAGAAUGCAACUAUGCACCCCUACGUGUGUGACUAUAUAUUAUCCUCUGUAUAUAGAAAUUAUAGUGGAAUUGUGUAUUCAUGUGGUGCAUAUACAUACAAAGCGAGUUUUGAUUUGAAACCUAUAGAAACUGUGAGAUUGUAUAUGGGAACAGGAACUUAUAAUGGUGUUGGAUUUCCGUUCUGUCUUCAACUACUUGUUGAUCGAGGUUCCCAAAUAAAAUUAACAUGCACGUCCUGGUCAACAACAACCACGGCGUCACCUACAUCGAUUUAUGACACCAAAAAUAUACAAAUUCCGACUACUUGGAGGAAUGAAGAUGCCAUCCCUUCAACAGCUGAACCACAACCAAACGAUGAUGAAUCUGAUCGAUCUUGGUGAAAAGGCGAAAGAAGGAUUCCAUAUAUGAGAAACCACGCGGACCACAAGAGAGUUCACAUAAUAAUAUUUAUAUGGAUUUACAUGUUGAACCCGUUAACACUAGAACGCAGCAAAACAACAUUUAUGUGAACAGCGCGGUGAUUUAAAAAAUAUGUAUUGACUCUAUAAUGUACCGUUGACAUUCAGUAGAUGGGAAUAAUGGAGACUAAUGACAUGAUACACGUAGAAGACCAUCUUUCAAGAACCCGAUGUCUUCAACAGGCAAAUUUUACCGGGUUCGUCCAUUAGUAAACUGCGGUGUCCCACACAUGAUCAGGGGCCUGUUUCACGAAAUUUUAACUAAGAUGAAAUUCAAAUUUUAAUAUUUGAUUGGAUAAUAUUAGAUUGAUUUUAGUGCUU